rnacentral:rRNA from 1 species
UGCGACCCCAGGUCAAGCGGGACUAC